UGACAAAGUAUUAAGUGUAAGAAGCCAACUUGACAUGCUCAAUCCAGUUAGCAUUUUGGAACAUCACCCUCAUUGGAGUCCAUUCUGCAUAUCCAAGAUCAACUGAGCUCCCGUAAUAGCUCAUCCUGGUCUCACCUGAAGUCCAGUAACAAAGAGCCCAGAGGGAACAGCAUCAUUAUCAUGUCACCAGCCCAGCCCACAAAUUCUGUGCUCCAAUCAGUUGUUCCAUCUCAGGGGAAAUGUCAGUGAAGGCAGUGGGACUUGAGCAAAGACACAGACAAUGGUAACGCUGCUAGGCUUUUGUUUCUGUUUAUUUUUAGCCUGUUUUCUGGGCCUGGUGAGUAACUUUGGAAAGUGCCAUUUGUGUACCAGGUAUUCAAUUCCUUUCAUGCAGGCUCCCCUGGCAUCUGUUUUUCUCUCCCAGAUCAUCCUCAGAGCCACUGAUUUGUUUUCAAGAAAGUGAGCUCUUAUGUUCCUCCAGCUUCCCCUGAGAGGAACUGUAUUGAGCAUGAGCUCAUCUUCUAAGGCUGACUUGUCCCAGAAAGACUUAGCAUGGGCCAGGAAAAGGCAGGCCUUGGUCCUUGUUUAACCCUUUUCUCUCACUCAUCUCUUUAUUUCCUAUCCCCCCCCCCACAUCCUUUCUUUUGCCUUGAUCUUAGGUUUCUUUCUUGAAGGUGUAGGAUCUCAUUCUUCCUAGGGCUCUUGCUGGGUCCCGUUGUCUGUAUCAAGUAACACAGAGGACUGCUUGCCUGAGAUCCUGAGCCCCAGCCAGUGGGCUUCUAACCACCCAGAAAACUGUAGCAGGGGCCCCCUCCUGAGGACCACCAAAGACUUUUGCACUCCUGCUAGCCUAAGGUACUUGUUACCUGACCUCUGUGUGCUCUUCUUCCAGAGCUGACAGAUGCCAGAGAGGACUCCCAUCUCCCAUCCAUAGAGGAAGCAGGGGCCCCAGCAUGAAGACCACCCCAAACUUUCCCUCAGAGCUGCAGCCUCAGCUUUUUCUCACUUCUCCCUCUACAACCUAGCUGUGGGCAGCUUUGGAAUGGCACCAACACUUACACAUUUCCAGCAAGCUCCCAGGUGGUGCUGCUGCUGUGGGGACCGUGGGUCCUUUGGAGAGUCUUCCUCUGACCACAGGUUCUAAAAUCCUUGGAAACAUUUAGAAUACCCUGAAGCCCAGGUCAUGUGGAGGGGACUGUCUGGCAGUUCUCAAAGGUAACCAAAGUGAGGUCAUGGCCCGUAAUCAUGACAUCACACUGAGCUGAGAUCAUGAGCAUCAGCCUCUAGUGAAACAAGGCCAGACUAUAGCCAUCCUCGGGAGAGGGUCUGGGAUUAACUCCAGCCCAGGCUUCAAGCUCUUAACUUCUACCAGCAAAUUAGGCAGCCUCUUUUCUGAACUGAUACUUUGGCCUUCCCAAGCCUCCCUGGAUACCUUUGGAAACUCAUGGACCCUCAUCAACAGAAUCCCUUUAAUUCAGCAAGAAGUUUCCUUGCAAACGAGGGUUGGAAGACAUGGCAACCACCACAACCUCAACUCCCAUUAACAAACACUUACCUGAGGACCUCAGAAUGAUGUAUGCAGCUUUCUCUGAUGGAUAUUUGACACCAAAGUGGUCCAGGGCCUUCUGCACCGAGGAGCACAUGAGCUGGGGAGAGGAAAUCCCACGAUGGGAGAGGCAGGGCCUCGAGAAAAGUCUAAAGGGAACGACUCAUUUCUAUAGGAGAAAAAAAGAAAAACUGAAAAUCGAGAAAAUGAAAAAUCUUAGAAGUGUUUAAACAAC